rnacentral:tRNA from 1 species
AAAAAUGAAGCAAACAUUGCAAUCAGUUUCGACCUGAUCUAUGGUUUAACCCUUUUUUA